AAAAUACUUAUUUUUCUGCUUUUCUUCCUUCAGAAAUCUUUGUCUGUACUGAAUAUCAGCAAUAACAACAUUGAUGAAUUAGAAGAACUGGCAGUUUUGGAAAAUCUUUCUUACCUUAAAGCUGUCGACAAUCGACUUAAACAUAUGAAGAACUAUUAAUGCUUUGUAUUUCAAGUCCUGGCUGGCAGCUGUGAUUGAAUUUACAUCAAAAUACAGUUCAUGUAGGCUUUUGCUGAAUAAUUAAAAUCACAUUGAAUAUGUUGGUUACAUCAAAAUAGCAAAAAGCUUUUUUCAAAUAGGAAUCUCACCGAAGCUUCCCUUUAUAAAUGAAUCAAUUUCUAAAUAAAAUAUAUUACAGAGAUUUUUA